rnacentral:rRNA from 1 species
UACAGAGGUCUCAAGCGUUGUUCGGAUUCAUUGGGCGUAAAGGGUGCGUAGGUGGCGCCGUAAGUCGGGUGUGAAAUUUCGGAGCUUAACUCCGAAACUGCAUUCGAUACUGCGGUGCUUGAGGACUGGAGAGGAGACUGGAAUUCAUGGUGUAGCAGUGAAAUGCGUAGAGAUCAUGAGGAAGACCAGUGGCGAAGGCGGGUCUCUGGACGGUUCCUGACACUGAGGCACGAAGGCCAGGGGAGCAAACGGG